rnacentral:lncRNA from 1 species
AGAUUUAGGCACGUAUGGGUGUUGUGGCUGACUGUUUCAAAGCGCACUUUAUGGCCGCGUGACGCUCGUCAUGGGCCUGUGACGGUCGUCACAGUCUGGGUCGUGACGAGCGUCAUGAAUCUGUGACGGUCGUCACAUCAACAAAAUCUGCAAAGUCUGCUUUUCUGGUUUUUCUGUGCUUUUUCAUGUGUUUUUUCUUCUUUUUUUUCCUUUUCUUCAUUUUUCUCUUUAGGGCAUGGAGAUUCAAAUACCUGCAAAAACAACACGAAUACUUGCGCAAUAAUCGGGAUAUUAAUCAAAAUGGUGUGAUCUUUGAGUGUAAAUUAAGGCAAUUAUCUGAUGUGUUUUCGCGUUAUCAGGGGUGCCCUUGAUUCAGAUGCUGAAUAGUAGGUUGAACUACAAGUGGAGGAACCUGCACAUGAAUCGGAG